rnacentral:rRNA from 1 species
GAUGAACGCUAGCUACAGGCUUAACACAUGCAAGUCGAAGGGAAACGGCAUUUAGUGCUUGCACCGAAUGGACGUCGACCGGCGCACGGGUGAGUAACGCGUAUCCAACCUACCCAUUACUGUGGGAUAACCUGCCGAAAGGCAGACUAAUACCGCAUAGUCUUCGAUGACGGCAUCAGAUUUGAAGUAAAGAUUUAUCGGUAAUGGAUGGGGAUGCGUCUGAUUAGCUUGUUGGCGGGGUAACAGCCCACCAAGGCAACGAUCAGUAGGGGUUCUGAGAGGAAGGUCCCCCACAUUGGAACUGAGACACGGUCCAAACUCCUACGGGAGGCAGCAGUGAGGAAUAUUGGUCAAUGGGCGCGAGCCUGAACCAGCCAAGUAGCGUGCAGGAUGACGGCCCUAUGGGUUGUAAACUGCUUUUGUAUGGGGAUAAAGUCAAUCACGUGUGAUUGUUUGCAGGUACCAUACGAAUAAGGACCGGCUAAUUCCGUGCCAGCAGCCGCGGUAAUACGGAGGGUCCAGGCGUUAUCCGGAUUUAUUGGGUUUAAAGGGAGCGUAGGCCGGAGAUUAAGUGUGUUGUGAAAUGUAGACGCUCAACGUCUGACUUGCAGCGCAUACUGGUUUCCUUGAGUACGCACAACGUUGGCGGAAUUCGUCGUGUAGCGGUGAAAUGCUUAGAUAUGACGAAGAACUCCGAUUGCGAAGGCAGCUGACGGGAGCGCAACUGACGCUUAAGCUCGAAGGUGCGGGUAUCGAACAGG